rnacentral:lncRNA from 1 species
CUCCUGGAAAAGAACACAGGUUUCAUUUCUCUAAGCAGCUGAUACAUGACAGUGUUCAGAAAACAAGCCAGUGAGCCAACAUGAAAAGGAGGUAUGUUCCUGUUAAAAGCUAGUCCUUAGCUUCUGUCACGUUGCUAGAAACCCCUGCCUCAACCUGAUGAUAAACUGUUCAGAUUAAGAAAAAAGAGCAAUCAUCUGAGAUGCAACGGUUGUGUCUCUCUUGUACUUCAGAGGAUUAGUUUAGCUAGGCUCAGAGACUGUUUGGGGCAGGUGUUUUUGUUGUUUCUUGUUUCUUUUUUUUUUCUGAGAAAAAAAUUAGGGGCUCUUAGUAAGAAUUCUGAGAUCACUGCUUGUUAUUCUUGAUACUGGCUUGGAAAAGGAGAUACGUUCCUAUAUAAUCGUGGACACACCAGUUUCCAAACAUCACCAGGGCAAUCUUUCUUGCUGCCAUGCUCUGUGCAGUUUUGCAACUGCUUCUCUUGUAGCAAAGGUGCAGGAGUUUCAGCAGGAGCUUCUCUUUGAAAAGGCUGCAGAAGAGGAGUCAACAUCUUGGGAUAUUUACUGAGUUCAGCUAUCUCAAGCCAGUAAAUUCUCCUGAAAAAAGAAGGAUGUUCAUCUCCUGCUUGUCUAUAUCUCUGUGACUGAGGUCUCAUAAACUAAAGGCUUCAGGCAGUUGUUCAUUUUCAAAAGGAAGGUGAACACCCAUGAGCUAGCUUCUUUAAUUUAGAUUGAUUUUGGUCUAAACUGUGAUGUUUGUAAGCAUGAUUACCAUUUAAGACUGCUGUCAUUUAGCCAGCAAACAAUGCACAUAACAACCACUUUGUACUUGUCAAAAACAACAUUCUGCUUUGGUUUGUUUGCUUUUUCCUCUUAAAUGUAAUGUUGUUUAAAAUAAAAGCUGUGCAUAUGGUAGUGAUAUAAUAAAU